UGGGGAAUUUUGGACAAUGGGCGAAAGCCUGAUCCAGCAAUGCCGCGUGUGUGAAGAAGGCCUUCGGGUUGUAAAGCACUUUUGUCCGGAAAGAAAUCCUUGGCUCUAAUACAGUCGGGGGAUGACGGUACCGGAAGAAUAAGCACCGGCUAACUACGUGCCAGCAGCCGCGGUAAUACGUAGGGUGCAAGCGUUAAUCGGAAUUACUGGGCGUAAAGCGUGCGCAGGCGGUUUGCUAAGACCGAUGUGAAAUCCCCGGGCUCAACCUGGGAACUGCAUUGGUGACUGGCAGGCUAGAGUAUGGCAGAGGGGGGUAGAAUUCCACGUGUAGCAGUGAAAUGCGUAGAGAUGUGGAGGAAUACCGAUGGCGAAGGCAGCCCCCUGGGCCAAUACUGACGCUCAUGUACGAAAGCGUGGGGAGCAAACAGGAUUAGAUACCCUGGUAGUCCACGCCCUAAACGAUGUCAACUAGUUGUUGGGGAUUCAUUUUCCUUAGUAACGUAGCUAACGCGUGAAGUUGACCGCCUGGGGAGUACGGUCGCAAGAUUAAAACUUAAAGGAAUUGACGGGGUCAUAGCUGUUUCCU
rnacentral:rRNA from 1 species